rnacentral:lncRNA from 1 species
GUCCAGGGAAAUAUAAUUCAGGAGAUGGACAAAGGUACAAAGUUAUCCACCUCAUUUAAUGAUUAAGCUAAACAUUUAUUCUAAAAUACUCAGAGCACAAACUAUGAGUUGAUGUUCUCACAUUUUAGUUUAUAAAACCCCAACACUUUGAGAUGCUCUAUCAAAAGCAAGAAAUUUAGCAGAUGUAUUUGGUUUAAUCUAUUCGCAGAGAUUUGCAAUCAACAUUAACUCAUUAAAGGAACCUGAAAAAUCCUUUACUAAAUAAAAUAUCCUUAAUUCAGAGUUACCAAAUAUAUUUGACUGCAGACCCCUGUGUCUGGUUCACAUCUACUGCCAACUUGGCUUUUCAAGGAGCAUGUAUUGAGAUACAAAAGUCUAGCCUAAGAGAACUUUAAAAAGAUAGAUAUAAAAAUGCUAUAGUAAUGAACUGCCAAACUCCAAUCACAGUGCAUUUACAUUAAGGACAACAGCAAAACAAAAUACCAAACAAGCAAAAGGACAAAUACUAAAUAUUACUAGCUCAAGGAUAGAAAAGAGUAGAAUGAUACUAAUUUCUCAUGCAUGUCUUUAUUAUUUGCCUUGUAAUAAUUGCAUAUUACUCUUUUUUGGAACUGAAAAUAUUAGAAGUGCACAAAAAUUACCAUCAGGUAAGGUUUAUCCAAGGAGUGUAAGUAUGACUUAUUAUAGGCAUAUGUCAAUAACAUAAGUUAUUGUAAUGA